rnacentral:rRNA from 1 species
GAUGAACGCUGGCGGCGUGCCUAAUACAUGCAAGUCGAGCGAACAGACGAGGAGCUUGCUCCUCUGACGUUAGCGGCGGACGGGUGAGUAACACGUGGAUAACCUGCCUAUAAGACUGGGAUAACUUCGGGAAACCGGAGCUAAUACCGGAUAAUAUAUUGAACCGCAUGGUUCAAUAGUGAAAGACGGUUUUGCUGUCACUUAUAGAUGGAUCCGCGCCGCAUUAGCUAGUUGGUAAGGUAACGGCUUACCAAGGCAACGAUGCGUAGCCGACCUGAGAGGGUGAUCGGCCACACUGGAACUGAGACACGGUCCAGACUCCUACGGGAGGCAGCAGUAGGGAAUCUUCCGCAAUGGGCGAAAGCCUGACGGAGCAACGCCGCGUGAGUGAUGAAGGUCUUCGGAUCGUAAAACUCUGUUAUUAGGGAAGAACAAAUGUGUAAGUAACUAUGCACGUCUUGACGGUACCUAAUCAGAAAGCCACGGCUAACUACG